rnacentral:rRNA from 1 species
AUUGAACGCUGGCGGCAUGCUUUACACAUGCAAGUCGAACGGCAGCGCGGGCUUCGGCCUGGCGGCGAGUGGCGAACGGGUGAGUAAUACAUCGGAACGUGCCCGGUAGUGGGGGAUAGCGCGGCGAAAGCCGGGUUAAUACCGCAUACGACCUGAGGGUGAAAGCGGGGGAUCUUCGGACCUCACGCUAUUGGAGCGGCCGAUGUCAGAUUAGCUAGUUGGUGGGGUAAAGGCCUACCAAGGCGACGAUCUGUAGCUGGUCUGAGAGGACGACCAGUCACACUGGGACUGAGACACGGCCCAGACUCCUACGGGAGGCAGCAGUGGGGAAUUUUGGACAAUGGGCGAAAGCCUGAUCCAGCCAUGCCGCGUGUGUGAUGAAGGCCUUCGGGUUGUAAAGCACUUUUGGCGGGAACGAAAAGGACUGUGCUAAUACCACGGUUCGAUGACGGUACCCGCAGAAUAAGCACCGGCUAACUACGUG